rnacentral:rRNA from 1 species
UACGUAGGGUGCAAGCGUUAAUCGGAAUUACUGGGCGUAAAGCGUGCGCAGGCGGUUUUGUAAGUUUGUCGUGAAAGCCCCGGGCUCAACCUGGGAAUUGCGAUGAAGACUGCAAGGCUUGAAUCUGGCAGAGGGGGGGUAGAAUUCCACGUGUAGCAGUGAAAUGCGUAGAGAUGUGGAGGAACACCGAUGGCGAAGGCAGCCCCCUGGGUCAAGAUUGACGCUCGAUGCACGAAAGCGUGGGGAGCAAACAGG